rnacentral:rRNA from 1 species
ACACUCCGAAAGGGGUGCUAAUACCGAAUGUUGUAAUGCUGCUGCAUGGCAGUAUUACCAAAGGUGGCUUUUAGCUAUCGCUUGGAGAUGGGCCUGCGUCUGAUUAGCUGGUUGGUGACGGUAACGGCGCACCAAGGCGACGAUCAGUAGCCGGUCUGAGAGGAUGAACGGCCACAUUGGGACUGAGACACGGCCCAGACUCCUACGGGAGGCAGCAGUGGGGAAUCUUCCGCAAUGGGCGAAAGCCUGACGGAGCAACGCCGCGUGAACGAGGAAGGUCUUCGGAUCGUAAAGUUCUGUUGCAGGGGACGAACGGCACUAUAGCCAAUAAGUAUAGUGAAUGACGGUACCCUGUUAGAAAGCCACGGCUAACUACGUGCCAGCAGCCGCGGUAAUACGUAGGCGGCAAGCGUUGUCCGGAAUCAUUGGGCGUAAAGGGAGCGCAGGCGGAACAUUAAGCGGAUCUUAAAAGUGCGGGGCUCAACCCCGUGAUGGGGUCCGAACUGAGGUUCUUGAGUGCAGGAGAGGAAAGCGGAAUUCCCAGUGUAGCGGUGAAAUGCGUAGAUAUUGGGAAGAACACCAGUGGCGAAGGCGGCUUUCUGGACUGUAACUGACGCUGAGGCUCGAAAGCCAGGGUAGCGA